GAAAACUUCUGCCUCUACGUUGGAUGAUCUUCGUUUGCCUAUACAUGGCAUCCCGAAUAUACAUGGAUUCAUGUUUAGCCAUCUGUCAAUGGCUUUGAAAAAAAAAAUAAAAAAAAGUUUGGAGCUGUUUGGAGCGGCACCGCGGGAGCAAAAUCUUUGGCGAUUUGCGGUGUCUCUACCGCAGCGGUCAGCUAGCAGCCGUCGUGAGCCGGCCUGAAAAUAUUGUGUUUUCGGUAGAAGAGAAACCGCUGCUGUGUCGCUGCGCACUUCGUGUUGGUAAACAUUGCUGAAUUCGGUAUCCAGCGAAGACGAUUCGGCAGCCAGAGAGCUGGAUUUUUGUUUUCCCGUACCCAAAAGUGUAGUUUAAGUGGGAUGCCGGUUCCAUGAUAGCUAUAUUGAUGCAGUUCGCUAACGAGCUUGGAUAAAACGGGGUACAGUUUGAGAUGCUGUUCGUGAUAUUGGACCGGUCGCGGUGGUGUACUUUUUCGGCGGUGUUAUCAUUCACCUGAUGGAGCUGGCGUAUCACAACAUCGCUCACAAUCUAGCCUUCGGGCAUGCGAGGCUAAUGGCGAACCGGUUCUUUUACAAUCUCCCGGGACUACCGAUGUCGAUGAGCUUUAAGCAGUAUGAAUCACCUGGAGCAUCUUCGGCUGGAAUGGGAAGAUUUACCGCAUGGUGAGAUUCCUGCUGACCAUUGGUCUCCAUCCGGUCGCGAGACACUUCAUCUCCGCGCACCAAGGGAAUCGAAACGUACUCCUAGUACGGCCCCGUGACUGGAUUACUAUUAACGUUGGGUAUCACCCGGUUGAUGCCUCCCCGAUGUGAACCGGAAUGCUCCAGAAUCUACGAUACCAUCCCGCAGUAUAUUAGCUGAACCAGGGCCUUGUACGACUUUAUCGCGGAUCCCACCAUCCACCCGGAUCAAGCGGAAGACGAGGGGACUGGAUUGAUAAAACCCUCCUUCACCGGAGACCGUAAGGCACGUCGGGGCUUCGUCAUGGCUGUUCAAUAUUUAUCUCUCCGGUUAUCAAUUCCACAAACAUUAUCACGGACAUCCCCAUCCUGGCCAUCUAUAAUAUUGAACAAUAUCGCAAAAUUCCUUAUUUUAUUGUUAUAUUUGUUUAUAAGUAAUAAAAAUAUGCUUAGGGGGUUGGGGCUCUAUAAAAAGUCCGAAAAUCCGAGGGUGGGUUCACCAUAUUCUCCAAAGAUAAAGCUUUUGAAUAUUUCAUAAGUUAUUCUUGAAUUCAAUUUAAAGUUAAAAGCUGUGAGGUGGCGCAUUCUAUGACUAAUUUUUAAACAUACACUUAACCCUCUAAUACCCAAAUUUUAGAUUUUCAUCAUUUUUCGUCAUCUAAAAUCAAUUUAAACAUGUUUUGAAAGAUGAUUCUUUUUAAUUCUCGAUUUCGUGAAUUUCAGUUUUUGAUUUUUCUAAUUUUUAUUUUUGAACAUCCCCACACUUUUAUAUUUUCCCUGGAAGCUAA